rnacentral:lncRNA from 10 species
AGUGUUGGACUGAACGAGUUAAGGAACCUGUUCAAGGAGGGACUCGUGGGGCCGCUUUGAUUGGCGGUUGUGCCUGGUGCUGCCGCUGUGUUGGUGACGAGAACUGAUAACAGCAUCUCACAACAGCGUAGCCCCGGCAUCGCACUUUGUUUUUUGGUUUUAGGACACCAGUUACUUGAUACCGAAGCCUUCCUGAUUCUUUUGCAGUGAUCCAGAUCCAGUUUUUCCAUGAGUCCGAGGCGCGGAACCUGGCUUCCCAGAUCCGGCGUGUACUUCCAUCUUUUACCAGUUGCCGGCUCUUUCCCACCCAACCCGUUUCCUGGACAAGUAAUUCUGCGCUCUUCUUCCCGCCUGUCACCUUUAUUUAUUAGUUCAGUUGUGUGUCCUAGAUGCUGUAUACCAGGUGCUACAGAUACACACAGUCUCCUGCUGUGGUUUCUGUGCUUGGGAGCAGGAUGUUAGCAAAAAGCGUUCGUGCUUCUCGGACUUUCUGGGAAGAGAAGUCUGCUAAGCAGAACUUUCAGUUAUGGGAGUAGGGUGAGGGGCUGAGUGUAAAUAAGUGUUUUGACUCUGCCAGAUAUAAGCUAAAUUGGAAAUAAUGUUUUGGCUGCAUGCAGAACAUACAAUGUGCCUGUUUCAAAGAUUCAGCUUACAUAUUCAUUUAACAAGUAUUUAUUGAGCACUUACCUCUUGGAUUGUACUAUAAAAGGGGCUCUGUUGGGUAUGAAAAGUACGGAUGGUCCCCGACUUACCCCUCACAAUGGUUCGACUUACAAUUUUUCGACUUUAUGAUGGGUUUAAUGAGACCUAACCCCAUGUCAGUCGAGGAGCAUCUGGACUUAAGC